rnacentral:rRNA from 1 species
UAGGGAAUCUUCCGCAAUGGGCGAAAGCCUGACGGAGCAACGCCGCGUGAGUGAUGAAGGUCUUUGGAUCGUAAAACUCUGUUAUUAGGGAAGAACAAAUGCGUAAGUAACUAUGCACGUCUUGACGGUACCUAAUCAGAAAGCCACGGCUAACUACGUGCCAGCAGCCGCGGUAAUACGUAGGUGGCAAGCGUUAUCCGGAAUUAUUGGGCGUAAAGCGCGCGUAGGCGGUUUUUUAAGUCUGAUGUGAAAGCCCACGGCUCAACCGUGGAGGGUCAUUGGAAACUGGAAAACUUGAGUGCAGAAGAGGAAAGUGGAAUUCCAUGUGUAGCGGUGAAAUGCGCAGAGAUAUGGAGGAACACCAGUGGCGAAGGCGACUUUCUGGUCUGUAACUGACGCUGAUGUGCGAAAGCGUGGGGAUCAAACAGG